rnacentral:rRNA from 1 species
UACGUAGGGGGCAAGCGUUGUCCGGAUUUACUGGGCGUAAAGAGCGUGUAGGCGGCCAAACAGGUCCGUUGUGAAAACUGGAGGCUCAACCUCCAGACGUCGACGGAAACCGUGUGGCUAGAGUCCGGAAGAGGAGAGUGGAAUUCCCAGUGUAGAGGUGAAAUUCGUAGAGAUUGGGAAGAACACCAGUGGCGAAGGCGGCUCACUGGUCCGCAACUGACGCUGAGGUGCGAAAGCGUGGGGAGCAAACAGG